AAAACAGGUUCUGGAUCAUUAGCCCUCCCACAAGUGGCCCAUAGUAACUAAAAGCGUUCACCAAAUACACAUAUAACAUUUAAAUAGAUAAAUAAAAUAUUGUUUAAGAAAGCAUGAUUAUGAUCCCUCAAGGGGCAGUCCAACAAUUAGAACUUUGGAUUUCAUCUUAGAGGACUGUUGGGAUUGGGUGAGGAUUUGGGUUGGAAGACAGGAAGAGGGCUUCAAUUCCUAGUGUAACUCAAUACACUCUAGGCAUCUUGCGUUUUUGGAAUGGAAGAAAGCUUCCCUUCCGAGUGUAGCUCAAUGCCUUUCAAAUAAAGAAAAAUAUCCACAUUA
rnacentral:misc_RNA from 1 species